CCAAACGUUAAAGUUAGACCAUGCCGCAAUAUAAUAAUCAUGACCAAGAAUGCAAUUGCAAAAAAGAUAAGAUGAUCAAAACCAGCAAUAGUAUGUACAAUACGAUAUUUGACAACAUUAGAUCACAUGGAGCAGAGAACCUAAGUUUAUUCUUGUAAACCUAAUUCCUGGAAGAUAUAAAUGGAAAUAUCCAGUAAUUGGGUGAUUACAGUAAACAUGACAACACGAAAAUCUUCAGUAACAGAUACUACGAUAAC
rnacentral:lncRNA from 1 species